GACGAACGCUGGCGGCGUGCUUAACACAUGCAAGUCGAACGGUGAACUCCGCUUGCGGGGGGAUCAGUGGCGAACGGGUGAGUAACACGUGGGCAACCUGCCCUCAGCUCUGGGAUAACUCCAAGAAAUUGGGGCUAAUACCGGAUAUGACCGCUGACCGCAUGGUCUGGUGGUGGAAAGAUUUAUCGGCUGGGGAUGGGCCCGCGGCCUAUCAGCUUGUUGGUGGGGUAGUGGCCUACCAAGGCGACGACGGGUAGCCGGCCUGAGAGGGUGACCGGCCACACUGGGACUGAGACACGGCCCAGACUCCUACGGGAGGCAGCAGUGGGGAAUAUUGCGCAAUGGGCGAAAGCCUGACGCAGCGACGCCGCGUGGGGGAUGACGGCCUUCGGGUUGUAAGCCUCUUUCAGCAGGGACGAAGCGAAAGUGACGGUACCUGCAGAAGAAGCACCGGCCAACUACGUG
rnacentral:rRNA from 1 species